rnacentral:rRNA from 1 species
GAUGAACGCUGACAGAAUGCUUAACACAUGCAAGUCAACUGUGGCGGACGGGUGAGUAACGCGUAAAGAACUUGCCUCCCAGCUAGGGACAACAUUUGGAAACGAAUGCUAAUACCUGAUACUGUGAGAGAUCUUUGCGUCCCAGUAGCUAGUGGGAGAGGUAACGGCUCACCAAGGCGCUGAUGGGUAGCCGGCCUGAGAGGGUGAUCGGCCACAAGGGGACUGAGAGACGGCCGUUACGCCUACGGGGGGAAGGAGUGGGGAAUAUGGGAGAAUGGACCAGAGUCUGAUACGGCAAUUCGGUGUGAACGAUGAAGUUUUCGGAAGGUAAAGUGCUUUCAGUUGGGAAGCGGUACCAACAGACGAAGUGACGGCUAAAUACGUGCCAGCAGCCGCGGUAAUUC